CCAAUAGCGUAUAUUAAAGUUGUUGCAGUUAAAAAGCUCGUAGUUGAAUUUCGAGAUCAUCAGGUUGGUCGUGCCACUGGUAUGCACUUGCCUUGGUGGUUUCUCCCUCUUGAAGAACCAUAAUGUCAUUAAUUUGGUGUUGUGGGGAAUCAGGACUGUUACUUUGAAAAAAUUAGAGUGUUUAAAGCAGGCAAACGCUUGAAUACAUUAGCAUGGAAUAAUGAAAUAGGACGUUUGAUCCUAUUUUGUUGGUUUCUAGGAUCGACGUAAUGAUUAAUAGGGAUAGUUGGGGGCAUUAGUAUUCAAUUGUCAGAGGUGAAAUUCUUGGAUUUAUUGAAGACUAACUACUGCGAAAGCAUUUGCCAAGGAUGUUUUCAUUAAUCAAGGACGAAAGUUAGGGGAUCGAAGACGAUCAGAUACCGUCGUAGUCUUAACCAUAAACUAUGCCGACUAGGGAUCGGAUGAUGUUAAUUUUAUAAUGACUCAUUCGGCGCCUUACG
rnacentral:rRNA from 1 species